CCUACGGGGGGCUGCAGUGGGGAAUAUUGGGCAAUGGGGGAAACCCUGACCCAGCGACGCCGCGUGAAGGACGAAGGCUUUCGGGUUGUAAACUUCUUUGGGGAGGGACGAAAUUGACGGUACCUCCAGAACAAGCCACGGCUAACUACGUGCCAGCAGCCGCGGUAAUACGUAGGUGGCAAGCGUUAUCCGGAUUUACUGGGUGUAAAGGGCGCGCAGGCGGUUCUGAAAGUCAGAUGUGAAAGAUCAAGGCUUAACUUUGACAGGUCAUCUGAAACUUUGGGACUUGAGUAUCAGAGGGGAAAGUGGAAUUCCUGGUGGAGCGGUAAAAUGCGCAGAGAUCAGGAGGAACACCGGUGGCGAAGGCGACUUUCUGGCUGACAACUGACGCUGAGGCGCGAAAGCGUGGGGAGCAAACAGGAUUAGAUACCCCUGUAGUC
rnacentral:rRNA from 1 species